CCAAUAGCGUAUAUUAAAGUUGUUGCAGUUAAAAAGCUCGUAGUUGAAUUUCGGGAUCAGUUUGUUGGUCGUGCUUCGGUACGUACUGUCAUUACUGGUUUCUACCUUCUGAAGAACCUUGAUGUCAUUAAUUUGGUGUCUUGGGGAAUCAGGACUGUUACUUUGAAAAAAUUAGAGUGUUUAAAGCAAGCAUCCGCUUGAAUACAUUAGCAUGGAAUAAUGAAAUAGGACGUUUGAUUCUAUUUUGUUGGUUUCUAGGAUCGACGUAAUGAUUAAUAGGGAUAGUUGGGGGCAUUAGUAUUCAAUUGUCAGAGGUGAAAUUCUUGGAUUUAUUGAAGACUAACUACUGCGAAAGCAUUUGCCAAGGAUGUUUUCAUUAAUCAAGAACGAAAGUUAGGGGAUCGAAGACGAUCAGAUACCGUCGUAGUCUUAACCAUAAACUAUGCCGACUAGGGAUCGGAUGAUGUUAUUUUUAAUGACUCAUUCGGCGCCUUACG
rnacentral:rRNA from 1 species